UAUUGUAUCUAGUGAUGUAUCUAGUGUAUUGGUCUGUAUCUAGUGAUGGAGGUCUGUAUCUAGUGAUGGAGGUCUGUAUUGUAUCUAGUGAUGGAGGUCUGUAUAGUAUCUAGUGAUGGAGGUCUGUAUAGUAUCUAGUGAUGGAGGUCUGUAUUGUAUCUAGUGGUGGAGGUCUGUAUUGUAUCUAGUGGUGGAGGUCUGUAUUGUAUCUAGUGGUGGAGGUCUGUAUUGUAUCUAGUGGUGGAGGUCUGUAUUGUAUCUAGUGGUGGAGGUCUGUAUAGUAUCUAGUGGUGG